CUAGGUUGCGAACAUAUGGAGCAUGGAGUUUGUGCAGCCAUAACUUGAGUGCAGCAGUUAAAUUUUCAAACAAGACUACACGAAAAAAUGAAACAUAUUAAGAGGAAAUAUCAUACAGAUAGUACAUUGAAAUUUAUAAAAUCGAAGAACAAACCAAAAACUUACAAGGAGCACAAGGAGUAAAAACCAGCCAAGAUAUGAUGAAGUGACGAGAUACGGUAACGAGUAGACAUAUUUAUAGUGGAAAAAUGCUCUAUUAUUAGAAGACACUAUGCGGUCAGAAAAAAUUGGAAGGCAUUGUGCGGUGAGAAAAAAUUAGAAGGCAUUGUGUGGUCAUCUAUUAUUAGAAGAUGCUAUGCGGUCAGAAAAAAUUGGAAGGCAUGUUGUCAUCUAUUUUUAGAAUGCACUAUGCGGUCAGAAUAAAUUAGAAGGCACUAUGCGGUGAGAAAAAUUAUUAGAAGGUAGUGUGCGGUCAUCUAUUUUUAGAAGGCACUAUGCGGCUAGAAAAAAAUAGUAGGCACUAUGCGGUGAUAAGAAAAAUAGAAUUCUAUGCGGUGAUCUAUUUUUAGAAGGCACUAUGCGGUCAGAAAAAAUUAGAAGGCACUAUGCGGUGAGAAUUCUAUUUUUAGAUGGUACUGUACGGUCAGCUUCAUCAAGAAAAAAUAGAAUGCGCUGUCUGGUCAUCUAUUUUUAGAAGGCAAUGUACGGUCAGAAAAAUUAAAAGGCACUGUGUAGUUAUCUAUUUUCCGCUAUGCGGUCAUCUAUUAUUAGAAUGCAUGCGGUUAGAUAUAUGACAUGAUGUGUUCAUUUCCUUAAAAUAUGAUCCAUAUAACAUAUAGACUUAUUUUUCACACAAAGAUGAACACUACAAAUGAUGCCCACAAAACUAGUUCAAAUGAACAAUUAGUUCUAUAGAGAUUGAAAAUGAGUGCUUACAAAAGCAUCAGUAUAUAACGAGUCAGUAUACUUCACACAUACAACUAAUUGUGUGAAAACGAGUGCUUACAAAAGCAGUAUAUAUGACGCAGUGCAUUCACAUUAAAAAACGAGUGCUUACAAAAGCAUCAGUAUAUACUUCACAAAAGCAUAUCCAUAUUCACACAUUGAGAACAAGCAAGUGCGUGGGUGCUUGGCCUAUGCCAGAGCGCUCCAUGAUAGCGAUGAGGCGCGCGCUGGUUGGGCGCUGGUCUCCCUUCACCUCCACCGAUUGGGGAACGUGUCGUGACCUGGUUGGCUCAGCAGAGGGAGGAAAAAAACAUCAAGGUGAGAAAAGGUCCCGAUCUCGACCCAGCAAACCCUAUCCAGUUUUCCUCCUGCGUGCUGCCGCUGCCUCGGGCUCCUAUCGCGCCUCCCCCUCCUCUAUGCGCCAGCGGGGUCCCACCCCACAUCGUCUACCUCCUCUCAUCCCCGCGCCUCUAAUCCCCUGGCUGCACCGGUUCCUACUUAUGUGCCUCCUCUGCGCAGCCGCUGGCGUCAUUUGCUUCCCCUUCGUGGCCGCCUCAAUAGCAGUUGUUGCCAGAGGUCGGUGCAGGGGACGAUGGAUGGAUGAUCAGGGCCACGGCUCGAGGUGUACAACAAGGUGCUUACCCGCCUAAGAGCUGAUGCUGCAGGCAUGUCGGAGAUCUCCCAGCCUCCGAGGACAUGCUCUGGGCGCACAUCCACCGCCUAUACCCGCCCGGAACGCGCUGGUUGUAAACAUGGAGAGGGGGGAGGACGUGGUGACGCAUAGAAACGAGAUCUGCACGGCUGACCCGCCUUUGCGGUGGGCGCCGUUCAGGUUUGUCGUCUUCCAGGGCAACACAUCUCCUCAGAUUACAGAGAUAUAUAUUAUCAAAUCUAGAAAGAAAGGAUGGAGGCAAAUAGAGAUUGUGUUGGCUGCAAAAUAAGAAGAUUUAUAAUGUAUUGCAGCAACAAUAGGUGGAAAUAUUCUGCUCAUGCUUCAAAUAUAGUGGAAGUCCCAUCCGAUUUUCGUCCAAGCAGAAGUUACACCACUACCGCUUCUUCGAGCCGAUGGUAUUGGUGCCUCUUCUUGACCAAGGAUGUUUUUAUCCUUCAGAAUCUGAUGGAAUUUUGUUUCCUCUGUUUUGAUGAGUUAUAUGUUAGGUUGCAAGAAUUAAUUAGUCAAUAUGUGUAAACCUGCAACUUUGUGGCAACAAAAUUAGAGGUUCUAGGAGGAAAGCCUUUCUUGGGCACUACUGGGAGAAAAAUGAGAAUUAAUUGGGGCUCAUUUUGUUACUGUUGAUUAGUUGCUCUUGCCGCCGGAAGGAGGAGAUGCCAUGGAGGAAUCGCUGGUGCUUUUCUCCUUCAAAGCUCACAACUCAAGCAAUAUUUUUAUUUAUUUUGAACUACCUUGUCUAUUCCUACUAUUAUAAAUAGACCGGCCCCUUCUGUUUCAGUUUCAAUGCAAAUGAUAUGUGUGACGUGCAUGGUAUAGAAGAACUAUUUGGUUUAUGUGUCUGAAUAAUACAAAUAUAGUAAUAAUUCUUUUGCUUUGAUCAAUUUAGUCAUCAUGGAUAAAAUAGCUUACUGCCAGUCUUGCUAUAAGUAAUGCAGUAUAACUAAAAGAAUCUUUUCUCUUCCUUCCAUUUCUAGUGAUAGAUAAUAAUUCACAUUUAUUGUUCUCCUAAAGCUCCAGGAAGGUGAGGUGUGUUUUUUGCAACACAUUUAGAGAUUGUGAUCAGUUAUAGCUGGAAAGGAAGUUAUAAAUAAUUUAUUACAAGGUAAAUUCAAUUUUGUUUUCUUUUUACAUACAUAUUGGUAAUUUUGUAUAGAUUAAUAGCAAGUGGAUAUUUUUAGGAGUCUUUGCAGGUACGUGCAAAUUGUUUGAUGUAACAUUCAUUAUGUCCAGAGAUUAAUUGAUAUGAGUUCUGUUUGCGGAUCAUUCCUGCUCAUCUACUUUAAUUGUAAUAAAAUAAAUAAACCACAUUUGUUAGGACGCGGCCUCUCCAGAUUUAUGUUUCCUUGUUGAAUGGCUUAUAGCAGUAGUAAAUUACUUUUCUAUAUUAUAUUUUCAUGUUCCAUCCAUGUGGUGCUCUUUUCUCGCAUACGUUGUUUAAUUACAUUUACAAUUUUAUUUUUGUUUUUUCGGGUUAAUCCCUCCUGUUUUUCUUCUCUAUUAUUUUUAUUUACCACAUAGAAGUUUUUAUUGUUGUACUGAUCCAUACUGUGCUAGCACUAUUAAUAAGGGUGCAUUGUCGGUUUUAUGUGUUAACGGUUAUGCUUUUUUGUUUCCAUUUUAUAAAUGCAACUUUUUUCUAGAUUUAGCUUUUGCACAUGUUAUAUUUACAUAUUUUCCCUUUGUUGAGGUUAUCUUGCCAUGCUCAUAUGUAAUGUAAAUCAGUUUAUUUCCUGUUGUUAUUGCCUUCACAUUUGAUAUGAUCUUUUCUUUAGCAACUACAAAGCUUUUGUAACCUAUCGUUUCUGUAGUUGGAGCCUAAGAAUUGGGUUCAGUCCAAGAGGGAGGCUUAAAUUAUGUUCCAGCUGGACUGAGAUAGUCCAUCAUUCAGAAGUGUAAAGUAUAUGAUCCACCAUGCACCAUUUUAUUAAGAAAUAAAUACGAAGAAGGCAGCGAGGAGAGUGGUGUAUAGUUCUCGCCUCCAUCUUUUGGGCAGUGGAGGCUCAAGGGACACUUCUGAAAUUUUAGUUACUCUCUUAUUCCGAGUGUGUUAUGAAUUGAUGCAUACACAGUUGCCUUUCGUGCAUUGUUAGAUUCUAGACUGCAAUUCUUUUGACCAACCAAUGGACUAUCAAACAUUGAUGCAUCAAGUGCAUGUCUUUUAAAUGUUUUGGGCUUUUUAAUUUCUAUGAUUUAGUGACCUGAAUAUCGUUAGGAGAUGAUACACACUCUUCAAUUUUUCUUACCUAAACAAUUGCUCUGACCUUUUUAUGGAACCAUAAGUCUCCCGUCCAUUCCUUA